AAUCAGGAUACCAGGGCACCCACUGUGAAACAGAAAUAAACGAAUGUGACAGCAACCCCUGUCAGAAUGGUGCUACGUGUGUGGAUGAAUUGAACAGAUACUCAUGUACCUGUCAACCAGGUUACCAGGGCACCAAUUGUGAAACAGAAAUUGACGAAUGUGACAGCAAUCCCUGUCAAAAUGGCGCCACUUGUGUUGAUGAACUGAACAAAUAUUCUUGUACAUGUCAACCAGGUUACCAAGGCACCCAGUGUGAAACGGACAUUGACGAAUGUUCUAGUAAUCCUUGUCAAAAUGGCGCCCAGUGUGUGGAUUAUGUGAACAGGUACUCCUGUACUUGUGUACCAGGUUACCAGGGCAGCCACUGUGAGACAGAUGUUAACGAAUGCGACAGUAAUCCCUGUCAAAAUAGCGCCACGUGUGUUGAUGAAGUGAACAAAUACUCUUGUACCUGUCAACCAGGUUACCAGGGUAGCCAGUGUGAAACAGAAACAAACGAAUGUAAUAGUAACCCAUGUCAAAAUGGGGCCUCGUGUAUCGAUGAAGUCAACAGAUACACGUGUAGUUGUGUAUCAGGUUAUAUGGGCACCCACUGUGAAACAGAUAUCAACGAAUGCAACAGUAACCCUUGUCAAAAUGGCGCCCAGUGCGUGGAUGAAGUGAACAGGUACUCGUGUAUCUGUGUUCCAGGUUACCUGGGUACCCACUGUGAAACAGACAUAAACGAAUGUAGCAGCAACCCUUGCCAAAAUGGCGCUACGUGUGUGGAUAAAGUAAACAGAUAUUCCUGUACUUGUGUAUCAGGUUACAUGGGUAUACACUGUGAGACAGAAAUUAAUGAAUGUGACAGCAACCCUUGUCAAAAUGGCGCCCAGUGUGUGGAUUAUGUGAACAAGUACUCCUGUACUUGUGUACCAGGUUAUAUGGGAACCAACUGUGAAAUAGACAUUGAUGAGUGUCAAAGCUCACCCUGUCAGAAUGGCGGGAGUUGCAAUGAUUUGGUCAAUCGGUUUGAAUGCACCUGCUCCGGGAGAUAUAAUGGAACUGUUUGUGAAAAAGAUUGUCGACCAGGACCGGCAGACAUUCUUUUUGUUGUGGAUUCUUCAGAGAGUGCAGAUUUUAACCGGUCCUUGGAUUUCAUGUUCAACAUCAUUCAAAACCUCUCGAUUGGACCCGAUGAUUUCCAAAUAGCUAUGGUAACAUUUUCAUCGAACGCCACUUUGGAGUUUGCUUUUGAUGAGUACAGGGACAAUCAGUCUCUUUUUGACGCUGUGAAUGGUGUCACGCCAGAAUAUGGUCCGACCUUUUUGACGCAAGCACUUGCCUUAGCGGAACAGAUUUCUAGUGGUACAGCGAAUGGAAGAAGACCCUCCGUCCCGUGUUAUGUGGUGAUUCUCACGGACGGGCUGGCUACAGAUGUACAUGAAUACGUAACCCAGGCCAGACUCAUGCAGUGGCGGGGCGUCCGGAUGAUGGGGGUCGGGAUUGGUAGCUCUGUGUCUCACAUUGACUUAAUAACCUUAUCUUCUAACAUUGAUGACGUGUUUUCUCCAGAUAAUGACGAUAUGCUGAAUACAAUACUCAGAGAAACGUCACAUCAAGACUGUAAUGAUUGCAUUUUGCGUAAGGAUUCUGACAUUAUAUUUUUGGUUGACGUAACACAGAAAGGACAAGAACUUGCCUCUGUGAGUCGCACUAUGAGGGAGAUUUCGUCUUUCUUCAGUUUUGGCAUGAACGAAUCAAGGAUAGGCUUGAUGACGUAUGCCUCAAACGUCACCAACCAAUUUUCGUUGACAACGCACACAGAUCAUAAUACCCUGUACCCGGCUUUGAGCAAAUUCCCACAAAUUGAUGAUGAUGCAGAUAUGAUAUACGCUCUUAGGUAUGUUCGCGAUAUUGGAUUUGCUCCCUCGAACGGAGGGAGGUUGGAUUCAAGGAAAAUAGUUGUUAUGUAUUCCAGUGGGAAUUGGUCAGACUUUGGAACCUUGCAUUCCGAAUUUAAAAACUUAAUGUCCGAAGGUUAUCACUUGUUUAACGUUGUAACUAGUUAUGAUGAAGCUAAAGUAAAUACGUUGAUCGGCCAUUUUAAACCCACGUAUGGUAUAAUCAAUGCCAUGACAGAAGAUUCACAGUCUGUUCUUGAAACAAUUGCUGCAGAAGCAACUUAUGAAAUCUGUGAUAAAGAUAUUUUCAUCAAACGAGCAAUAUGAAGACACGACAGUAUUUCAGGAGUUCGUCAAAAUGUUUGACAACAAUAUAUUUGUUCCCAGCGAAUUGUUCAGUCAUGUUAUCAAGAUCAUUGUCUUUAAAUAAUCUUAGUGUAAAUGAAUGUUUACUCUAGUAUUUGUUUCAAUGUAUUAUAUUCAAUAAAUUUUUAGUAUAAUAU
rnacentral:misc_RNA from 1 species